rnacentral:rRNA from 1 species
AUUGAACGCUGGCGGCAGGCUUAACACAUGCAAGUCGAGCGGGGGAGGUUGCUUCGGUAACUGACCUAGCGGCGGACGGGUGAGUAAUGCUUAGGAAUCUGCCUAUUAGUGGGGGACAACAUUCCGAAAGGGAUGCUAAUACCGCAUACGCCCUACGGGGGAAAGCAGGGGAUCUUCGGACCUUGCGCUAAUAGAUGAGCCUAAGGCGGAUUAGCUAGUUGGUGGGGUAAAGGCCUACCAAGGCGACGAUCUGUAGCGGGUCUGAGAGGAUGAUCCGCCACACUGGGACUGAGACACGGCCCAGACUCCUACGGGAGGCAGCAGUGGGGAAUAUUGGACAAUGGGCGGAAGCCUGAUCCAGCCAUGCCGCGUGUGUGAAGAAGGCCUUUUGGUUGUAAAGCACUUUAAGCGAGGAGGAGGCUACUAGUACUAAUACUACUGGAUAGUGGACGUUACUCGCAGAAUAAGCACCGGCUAACUCUGUGCCAGCCGCCGCAGUAAGAC